rnacentral:rRNA from 1 species
AAAUCAGGUAAGACUACCCGCUGAACUUAAGCAUAUCAA